rnacentral:rRNA from 1 species
ACAUGCCUAAAUCAUAGCAUUAAUGCACUAGAUCUCAUUAGAACUUUGCAGUUAAUCACGCUCAUGCUAGAGUAGUAUUGGCAUGGGUGACUACCCAGGAAGUCCCAAUUUUUUACAUGCC